UUGAUUACGUCCCUGCCCUUUGUACACACCGCCCGUCGCUGCCCGGGACUGAGCCAUUUCGAGAAACUCGGGGACGAUUAUGCGUGUCGGCUUCGGUCGUCGCGUUGAUUGGAACCGAUUUAAUCGCAGUGGCUUGAACCGGGCAAAAGUCGUAACAAGGUAGCUGUAGGUGAACCUGCUGCUGCUGGAUCAUUACCCAAGUGAUACCAAUUCACCACCUACCUGCUGUCCAGUUGAGUCAGUGUGGGCAACACCACAUGCCUCCGUUUGUUGUUGACGGACACAUGCCCGCUGUGUAUUGGCUGGCACAUUGACCAACAAUGUACGGACAGCGCCCUGUGGGCACAUGAGUGUUGGGGUGUAACCGAUGUUGGUGGCCCUAUGGGUGAGCCGACGAUUGCUGCUGUCGUCGGGUCGCUGCGCCAACGGAGGAAGCACGCCCACAGGGCACCCUAACGGCUGUGCUGGCGUCUGUGCGUCGUUGAGCGGUUGUUGCGCCUUGCGCAGAUAUGCUAACAUGGAGUGUAGCUGCUACUCCAUGUUGUACGUGCCGUACCUUGCGGCAUGUCUGCGCUUGUGUGCUACGUCCGUGGCCGUGAUGAGACGACGUGUUAGGACCCGUGCCUGGCAUUGGCACGUGGUUUAAGACUUGAUGAGUGCCCGCAGGCACCGCCAGCUUUUUCCCAUUUUUAUUUAUUUUUUAUGCAAUUCGAUUGCUAAAAUAUUCUAAUCUUAUCGGUGGAUCACUCGGCUCGCGGAUCGAUGAAGAACGCAGCCAACUGCGAUAAUUAGUGUGAACUGCAGAAACCUUGAACACAGAACUUUCGAAUGCACAUUGCGCCAUUGGAGUGACAUCCAUUGGCACGCCUGGUUCAGGGUCGUAACCAAAAAACGCACUGCAUGUGCGUGUUUUUUUGCUAAGAUCACGCUUCGGCGUGUUCUUGCAUACUAUUGAAUGCUACGCUGUGUAGCGUUGGACGUGCUGGCGCGAAAAUGUGUUGUCAUUCGCGCUUUACAGACCGUAAUUUAGGCACGCCCCUUCGUUCACAUGCGAUAGCUGAAUGCCUCGCCAAUAGGCAUUUGCAAUUGAACAUUUCGACCUGAACUCAGACGUGAACACCCGCUGAACUUAAGCAUAUCAGUAAGCGGAGGAAAAGAAACUAACGAGGAUUCCCUUAGUAACGGCGAGUGAA
rnacentral:sRNA from 1 species